AAUAAUUUUUAACAAUGGAUCUCUAGGCUCUUGCAACGAUGAAGAACGCAGUCAAUUGCGAUAAGUAAUGUGAAUUGCAUUACCUGUGAAUCAUCGAAUCUUUGAACGCAUUUUGCACUUUGUCUCUGGCAAAGUAUAUCUGUUUGAGUAUCAUAA
rnacentral:rRNA from 1 species